rnacentral:rRNA from 1 species
AACGCGAAGAACCUUACCUGGGCUCGAACGGCUUCGGACAAUCCUUGGAAACAGGGACUUCCCGCAAGGGACUGGAGUCGAGGUGCUGCAUGGCUGUCGUCAGCUCGUGUCGUGAGAUGUUGGGUUAAGUCCCGCAACGAGCGCAACCCUUGUCCUGUGUUGGCAUGCCGCAAGGCGCAACUCUCAGGAGACCGCCAGCGAUAAGCUGGAGGAAGGUGGGGAUGACGUCAAGUCAUCAUGGCCUUUAUGUCCAGGGCCACACACGUGCUACAAUGGGCGGUACAAAGCGCUGCCAACCCGCGAGGGGGAGCUAAUCGCCAAAAACCGUCCUCAGUUCGGAUUGCAGGCUGCAACUCGCCUGCAUGAAGCUGGAAUCGCUAGUAAUGCUAUAUCAGAACGAUAGCGUGAAUACGUUCCCGGGCUUGUACACACCGUAGUAC